rnacentral:rRNA from 1 species
AGAGUUUGAUCAUGGCUCAGAACGAACGUUAGCGGCGCGCCUAACACAUGCAAGUCGCACGAGAAAGGGCUUCGGCCCCGGUACAGUGGCGCACGGGUGAGUAACACGUAGAUCAUCUCCCCUCGAGUGGUGGAUAACUCUCCGAAAGGAGAGCUAAUACAGCAUAAGACCACGGCUUCGUUGAAGCUGCGGCCAAAGCAGGCCUCUACACGUAAGCUUGCGCUUGAGGAUGAGUCUGCGGCCCAUCAGCUAGUUGGUAGGGUAAUGGCCUACCAAGGCUAAGACGGGUAGCUGGUCUGAGAGGAUGAACAGCCACACUGGAACUGAGACACGGUCCAGACUCCUACGGGAGGCAGCAGUGGGGAAUCUUGCGCAAUGGGCGAAAGCCUGACGCAGCGACGCCGCGUGAGCGAUGAAGGCCUUCGGGUUGUAAAGCUCUGUGGGGAGGAAAGAAUAAGGUUUGGCUAAUAUCCAAGCUGAUGACGGUACCUCCUUAGCAAGCACCGGCUAACUCUGUGCCAGCAGCCGCGGUAAGACAGAGGGUGCAGACGUUGUUCGGAAUUACUGGGCGUAAAGCGCGUGUAGGCGGCCCUGUAAGUCGGAUGUGAAAUCCCACGGCUCAACCGUGGAAGUGCAUUCGAAACUACAGGGCUAGAGUCCUGGAGAGGAAGGUGGAAUGCUUGGUGUAGAGGUGAAAUUCGUAGAUAUCAAGCGGAACACCGGUGGCGAAGGCGGCCUUCUGGACAGUGACUGACGCUGAGACGCGAAAGCGUGGGGAGCAAACAGGAUUAGAUACCCUAGUAGUCC